rnacentral:lncRNA from 1 species
GCCUUUAUCAUGUUGAGCUUCCUCAACAAUUAUUGCUCCCAAGUUUUUAUAUUUUCAUUUUAUAAAGUAGAAAGGAAAUAUUUAUUUUAUUUUUAUGCCACCACAGUGAAUGUACUUAUGGGUUUUAUGCCGCUUGUAUACUCACAUGGGGCUUACUAUUUUUCACAUUUUUAUUUUCUUUUUAGGAUAGUAUGAACAUAAUUAACUAAGUAAACUAUUUAAAAUAAUUGAAAGGGAAAGGAUAACUACCAAGUUUACCUCUUGGCAAGGCAUUCGGUAUUUUUAAGUCCUCCGAACGGGACUCUCCGUUUUCUCAAUUGUCCUGGGAUUCGUUGGGUGGCGUAGUCGGUACUUCCGGAGGCGCCUCCUCUUCAUGUAUAGUUAUCUUCUCUUUCCAUACCUGACUCGGUGCUAUGGUCUCCUCAGGAUAGCUCUAUUUAAACUCUACGUCUUCUGAUCUUACAACUUCUCCUUCAUAGUCUGCCCAUCCAACCUUGAUGAUUUGCCUCCUCUGGUUGCGGUUGUGUCAUUUCCUGACGUGCUUAGAUUCUUCAAAGAUAUAGUUAGGGUCAGUAAAAUAACGGCGUACCUUUUCUGAGGGGAAGUGCAUAUGGACUUCUCCGGUUCCAAUGUAGAUGAUUGCUUUAACAGUGCUGAGGAACGGUCUUCUAAGGAUGAUGGGUGGGUCGUAUUCGUCUUCUCCCAUGUCAAUAACCUAAAAGUCUGUGUAGACAAAAUGAUCGUCUAUUUUGACUGGGACAUCAGUUACUGUUCCUAUAACUUCUCGAAACAUCUGAUCUGCCAUCUAAAGCUGAAUGUAUGUUGGUUUUAGGGGCAUGGUUCCGAACAAGAGCCGAUAGGUGACUGUUGAUAUUUGGGAACGCAAUAAGGAAUUGAUCCGCAAGCGCACGGAUAUCAGUGAGCACUUCACCCGAGAAAUUAUCCAGAGUAUCGUAUUUAUUUUUUU